rnacentral:rRNA from 1 species
GUGGGGAAUCUUGCGCAAUGGGCGAAAGCCUGACGCAGCAACGCCGCGUGCGGGAAGAAGGCUUUAGGGUUGUAAACCGCUUUCAGCAGGGAAGAAAAUGACGGUACCUGCAGAAGAAGGUGCGGCCAACUACGUGCCAGCAGCCGCGGUGACACGUAGGCACCAAGCGUUGUCCGGAUUUAUUGGGCGUAAAGAGCUCGUAGGCGGUUCAGUAAGUCGGGUGUGAAAACUCUGGGCUUAACCCAGAGCCGCCACCCGAUACUGCUGUGACUUGAGUCCGGUAGGGGAGCGGGGAAUUCCUGGUGUAGCGGUGAAAUGCGCAGAUAUCAGGAGGAACACCGGUGGCGAAGGCGCCGCUCUGGGCCGAGACUGACGCUGAGGAGCGAAAGCAUGGGUAGCAAACAGGAUUAGAUACCCCGGUAGUCC